rnacentral:rRNA from 1 species
GACGAACGCUGGCGGCGUGCUUAACACAUGCAAGUCGAACGGAAAGGCCCCCUUGCGGGGUACUCGAGUGGCGAACGGGUGAGUAACACGUGAGUAACCUACCCUUGACUUUGGGAUAACUUCAGGAAACUGGGGCUAAUACCGGAUAGGAGCUCCUGCUGCAUGGUGGGGGUUGGAAAGUUUCGGCGGUUGGGGAUGGACUCGCGGCUUAUCAGCUUGUUGGUGGGGUAGUGGCUCACCAAGGCUUUGACGGGUAGCCGGCCUGAGAGGGUGACCGGCCACAUUGGGACUGAGAUACGGCCCAGACUCCUACGGGAGGCAGCAGUGGGGAAUAUUGCACAAUGGGCGGAAGCCUGAUGCAGCAACGCCGCGUGCGGGAUGACGGCCUUCGGGUUGUAAACCGCUUUCGCCUGUGACGAAGCGUGAGUGACGGUAAUGGGUAAAGAAGCACCGGCUAACUACGUG